rnacentral:rRNA from 1 species
UACGAAGGGGGCUAGCGUUGCUCGGAAUUACUGGGCGUAAAGGGUGCGUAGGUGGUUACGUAAGUUAGGUGUGAAAGUCCCGGGCUUAACCUGGGGAUUGCGCCUGAUACUGCGUAGCUAGAGUACUGUAGAGGGAAGUGGAAUUUCCGGUGUAGCGGUGAAAUGCGUAGAUAUCGGAAGGAACAUCGGUGGCGAAGGCGACUUCCUGGACAGCUACUGACACUGAGGCACGAAAGUGUGGGGAUCAAACAGG